GACGAACCGAGCGAACGUUGUUCGGAAUCACUGGGCUUAAAGGGCGCGUAGGCGGGUGCUCAAGUCCGUGGUGAAAUCCUCCGGCUCAACCGGAGAACUGCCAUGGAUACUGGGUGUCUCGAGGGUGAUAGGGGUAUGCGGAACUAUCGGUGGAGCGGUGAAAUGCGUUGAUAUCGAUAGGAACUCCGGUGGCGAAGGCGGCAUACUGGAUCACAUCUGACGCUGAGGCGCGAAAACCAGGGGAGCAAACGGGG
rnacentral:rRNA from 1 species